CAGCUAUAAUCAAAAGUACAUAGUGUACUUUGUCUUUGACUAACAUAAAUAGUUGUCAGGAUGGACUCCAAUAGAGCUCUCCAUGUUAUUUUGACUCCAGCACAAUGGAAGUAAUUCCUUAUUAUGGCGAGUUGAGACAAAUUAUCUAAAAUUAUAGGGUCGUUGGAUUUCUCUACAAAUAGCAACCAAACACCCUCACAUGUUGCUGUCGAGUGGCACCAAGAGCUCCAGCUGUUAUAAGAGAUCAUUUCUUGACUCUGUCCCAUGGAACUAAAUUGCUUCUUUUCCUGCUUCACUUCAUUAGGUGGGUGAUCAGUGGGUUUCCACUGGAGUAUGAAGAUAAUAUCCUCCAACUAGACCAAGCCUUUGAUGCUGAGAUCACACUCGGACCGUGCGUGCCGCCGCCGGGUACCGGAGCGGGGCCGGACGGAUCAGCGUGGGCUGAAUGCCCUCUACCGGGGGAACCCGGAGGUUACCCACAGCCGCACCAUCGGUGAGCAGCGCGGGCUGGGGGUGCCCCCUUCGUCACCUGCGUUGUCUUUGCAUCAAAACACAAUGGGGGUGGUAAUUAAACGAACAAGGAAAAAGAGACAGAUUAAUUGAUUGAACUGGUUCCAGGAGAAACCAUUAGUCCUGUUCCUCUUCUGCUCUAUAUGGUGUUUAAACAACUCUGAAAUGGAGCCCGGUGAAUCCUGCCAACAUAUUUCUUGUCAUCCCAGACACACCUGUUUGAGAAUGACAUAGCCAAAGAGAAGAAAGCCCAAGAGGAGAGUCCUGUGGAUGCUUUUAACAGUGAAACUAUUUGAGGAAAAGUCAGGUCCACUUCAGUAAUGGAAUGAAAAAAGUAAUGGAAGGAGCCCAGGCUCUCCUUGAAGCAGCAGGGAGUAUCAGCCUCCCAUGGCCAAGUGACAGCAGCACUGAGAUCUUGGUGCUUCACACCUUUUCCAACACUUCCAUGUGAUUGCAGUGACUUUGCCCUUGCCGGUGCCUUCAGUCCCUGAAGGAAGUACCUAUCUGAACCUGAAGUGCUGUCUUUGCUGUGAUGCCACCAGCAACUACAGUUUUCCUCCUGCAAAAACCUCCUUAUGCAUUAUGAAACAAUAUGUGUUAUGUUUUGCUUUAUAAAUAAUCAGUUUUUGCAAACUUAUAUAUCAUCUGUGUGACAAACACUUUGUUCCAUGGUAAUGAAUACAAGUCUGUGUCCAAACAUCACGUUUAAACACCAAAAAAAAAAAAAAAAAAAAAAAAAAAAAUCCUUUGAGGCUACAUCUUCAUGUUCAACAGAUGAGGUUCUGUUCAACCUGGAGCUCUGUGACUGUGAUGAACACAGAACAGCACAGGAGUAAAUCUUCCCUCUACUUUGCCCCCCCCCCCCCCGGGACAAUGUUUUCUAGAAAAGAUCAGACGGUGUUUUAAUGCCUGGGGAAAAACAGAACGUGACCCACAGUAUAUUUAGGCAGUUCCAUUUCUGCUUGCUAUUUUUAAAAGCAUAUGCGUUAUUUAAAAAUAAUUAGCUUGAGCCCAUUUAUGUACAAUGUAUAUAUUGCACAUAUGUCUAUACAGAACAAGAAACAAUGUAAUCACAACCUUACUACACUAAAGGUCUUGGCAUAAGAAACACAGACAGUGAAAGCCAAAGAGAUUUUACCUGUCAUAUGUAUUUCCCUCAUUUAAAUAUAUUAAAACAGAACAAAAAUAAACUUCUGAUGCUCAGAGUUUAACCCAGUGUAACAUAGUAGUUAUUUCAGUCUUUACUACAACAAUUAUUGAUAUUCUAUAUGUUCAUGUGCAGUAAAACGUGAGACAGAAAUCUCGAUGACUUAUUGUUCUGCAACUUCAAAUUUCAUCUGUUGUUUGUGGAAAGAAAAGAUAUCUUCAGAUAUGUACACACAUUUUUCUCUAAAUGUCUCUGCAUGGCAAGUAAGGCUGUAUGGGGCGAAAGGGCGACAGCAGGUUUUACUCUGCAAAUGUGAGCAUGUGCAUCUGCAGUCUUCUGUCCCUUUAAAAUUUAAUUACACAGUAUAAUAAGGCUGCUAUGUAUGUAUAAUAUUAUCAUAUUUAGUGAAUCAUAGGGCUGGAUAUAAGGAAGAAUCUCUAUUGAGUCAAAUUCUCCCAGAGGCGUUACUAGAGCUUGGACUGGCACAUGGCUAAUGCUUUUCUAUUUCUUUUGAUUCAACAGCAAGGCUAAAUAUACUUGCAAAGAAAAAGAUCCAGUUGAAUAAAAUCCAUAUGAAGCCUGCUGUAAUUACAUAAUUUGAGUAAAUUUAUGCCUUAGGACUUUCUUAAGAGUAGAAAUUCUCUGAACAGAAACAGUGCAUUUCUAGGGAGUGCCAGUAAGGAGCUUCAAAGUACU
ensembl:lncRNA